rnacentral:rRNA from 1 species
UUAGAGUUUGAUCCUGGCUCAGGAUGAACGCUAGCUACAGGCUUAACACAUGCAAGUCGAGGGGAAACGGCAUUGAGUGCUUGCACUCUUUGGACGUCGACCGGCGCACGGGUGAGUAACGCGUAUCCAACCUUCCCAUUACUGUGGGAUAACCUGCCGAAAGGCAGACUAAUACCGCAUAGUCUUCGAUGACGGCAUCAGAUUUGAAGUAAAGAUUUAUCGGUAAUGGAUGGGGAUGCGUCUGAUUAGCUUGUUGGCGGGGUAACGGCCCACCAAGGCAACGAUCAGUAGGGGUUCUGAGAGGAAGGUCCCCCACAUUGGAACUGAGACACGGUCCAAACUCCUACGGGAGGCAGCAGUGAGGAAUAUUGGUCAAUGGACGGAAGUCUGAACCAGCCAAGUAGCGUGCAGGAUGACGGCCCUAUGGGUUGUAAACUGCUUUUGUAUGGGGAUAAAGUUAGGGACGUGUCCCUAUUUGCAGGUACCAUACGAAUAAGGACCGGCUAAUUCCGUGCCAGCAGCCGCGGUAAUACGGAAGGUCCAGGCGUUAUCCGGAUUUAUUGGGUUUAAAGGGAGCGUAGGCUGGAGAUUAAGUGUGUUGUGAAAUGUAGACGCUCAACGUCUGACUUGCAGCGCAUACUGGUUUCCUUGAGUACGCACAACGUUGGCGGAAUUCGUCGUGUAGCGGUGAAAUGCUUAGAUAUGACGAAGAACUCCGAUUGCGAAGGCAGCUGACGGGAGCGCAACUGACGCUUAAGCUCGAAGGUGCGGGUAUCAAACAGGAUUAGAUACCCUGGUAGUCCGCACAGUAAACGAUGGAUGCCCGCUGUUGGUACCUGGUAUCAGCGGCUAAGCGAAAGCAUUAAGCAUCCCACCUGGGGAGUACGCCGGCAACGGUGAAACUCAAAGGAAUUGACGGGGGCCCGCACAAGCGGAGGAACAUGUGGUUUAAUUCGAAGCAACGCGAAGAACCUUACCAAGUCUUGACAUACUGUGAGGACACAAGAGAUUGUGUUGUUCUGACCUUUGGUUAGACACAGAUACAGGUGGUGCAUGGUUGUCGUCAGCUCGUGUCGUGAGAUGUUGGGUUAAGUCCCGCAACGAGCGCAACCCUUAUAUCUAGUUGCCAGCAGUAAGAUGGGGACUCUAGAUAGACUGCCAGUGAUAAACUGGAGGAAGGUGGGGAUGACGUCAAAUCAUCAUGCCCCUUAUGACUUGGGCUACACACGUGCUACAAUGGAUGGUACAACGAGCAGCGAACUCGCGAGGGUAAGCGAAUCUCUUAAAGCCAUUCUCAGUUCGGAUUGUAGGCUGCAACUCGCCUACAUGAAGCCGGAAUCGCUAGUAAUCGCGGAUCAGCACGCCGCGGUGAAUACGUUCCCGGGUCUUGCACUCACCGCCCGUCAAG